UUUGAUGAGAUUUAGCCUUGAAUGUGAACUAUUUUCUUUCUUUUUAUUACAAUUCUUUAACUAUAAAAGCGAGGGAAAAUAGACCACAAAUAAUUCCUCAUUGUUUACAGAGAGAAAGAAGCUUUCAACAUGCAUUACUUGUUUGCUAUUCUUGUUUUGGUUGCUUUGAUGGCCGUUGCUUUUGCUCAGUGGCCGUACUACACUACUUACUAUAAUACUCCUGCCUUUGGUUAUCCUUAUGCCUACAACUACGGUGUUUACAACCCAGCUGUUAACUACUGGUGGAAGAAAUAGACGAAAUAAUCAAGGAGUUACCGCACGCUAACGUUGAUGGAUCAAUGGAAAAUGGAAUAACCGAAGUGCUGAUCCUGUGCUCCUUUCUUAAAUUUUCGGAUCUCUUUCUUCUAAAAAAAUAAUAAAUUUAAAAAAGAAAA